GCCACAUCGCUUUAUGUCAAAUCAGUUUUUAACCUAAAAAUGGAUUUAGUCUCAACAAUCUUAAUAAUAAUCCUAAUUAAAUCGAUAAAAAGCGAAGAUUGGGAUAUUUAUUGGCGUGAUUAUAAAGGAGAAAUCCCAAAAGAUGCUGACCCCGCCGAAGCGAACUCCGUUUACAUUGGACAAGUUAUUUAAGAAGGAUUUUUAUUCGCCGGAUUAAUUUACGCAAAAACAGAUUCAUUUCGAUAAUCUUCUUGAAAACCUCGUAAAUACAACCAUCGAAGGAAACGAUUUUAAUUGGUAUAUUGGAAAAACGUUCCAUGAGAAUCAAUGGGGGGUUAAUUUUUGAGUCGAAUUCGAAAUAAAAUUGAGUGAAUAUAAUUAAAGGUUAACAAGUUUAUUGAAACGAUUUGAAAUAACCUUGAUAUCCUUGGGUGAAUAAUUUAAUCUAUUUAAUUUGUUAUGAAAAGGCGUCUAUGGAAGAGAUUUUAAUGGAAAUUAAUCUAAAGAUACCAUGGAUGCUGAAAAAUCAAUUGAAACGUUAGUUUUAAAGUUUGUUGAGAUUUUUUUUAACUUGGAUAAUAUAAGAAAAAUAAAAAAAUACAAGGAUUUAUCAAGUUGCAUAGAAAAGGCGUUUGUUGAAGAGAUUUUGAUGAAAAUUAACCUAAGGAUACCAUGGAUGAUGGAAAAUCAAUUAGAACCAAGGUUCCUCAAGAUUUUAUUUAACUCCGAUAACCAUUAAUCGGGAAAAAAAAGGAUUUUUUUCGGAAUAAUAAGGAAAAUAAGAAAUGAAAGGAUUUAUCAAGAAAGAACACUUGUUGAAGAGAUUUUAAUGGAAAUUCACCUAUAGAAUAUCAGGAAUGCUGGAAAAUCUAUUAAAACUGAGGUUCGUCAAGAUUUUUGUUAACUCCUGUAUCUAUUAAUCGGAAGGAAAGGAUUUUUGUUUCAAAAUAACACGAAAAAUGAGAAAUAAAAGGACUUAUGAAGAAAAGGCGUGUAUUAAAGAGAUUUGAAUGGAAAUUAACCUGAUAAUUCGGUGGAUGAUGAAAAAUCAAUUAAAACCAAUGUUUGUUAAGAUUUUUUUUUAACUCUGAUAACCAUUAAUCAGAAUUAAAGCACUAAAGCAACUAAAUAAAAGGAUUUAUCAAGAAAAGGCGCUUAUUGAUGAGAUUUGAAUGGGAAUUAACCUAAGGAUGGAUUAACCAUGGAUGCUGAAAAGUCAAUAACACUUAAUCAGAAGAAAAUGGUUUUUGUUUAUAUCUAAUUAGGAAUAAAAGGAUAUAUCAAGGAUUGGAAAUUAAAAUAUGUAUUUUAAAGAAAUUCUUUACAUACAUUAUUUCUUGAGCUUGGCUUGUUUCUGCUAACCACUUUAUGAUACUACCUUUGACAUGGUAGUAAUUAGGAGCUCAUAUUUAAGGACAAUAAAUUUUAUUUGAAAUAUA
rnacentral:misc_RNA from 1 species